GGGCUGGGUGGGAAGGGACCUUUCAGGCCAUGCAGUGCCGCCCUGCCAUGGGCAGGGACACCUCCCACUGUCCCAGGGUGCUCCAAGCCCUGCCCAGCCUG